CUUUUAGGAAAAAAAAUCUCGCCUACCGCUAUUCCCUCUGGUUCAGUCCCUUUCAGAAUGUGCUGUUUCAGGGGGGUGUAGCUUCAAUGCAAAUGAGGCACCCUGCUCAUUGCAUUUGGACACGCACUUCUAACAAACUGAUACCAUGGUUACGGAGAGAGUGCAGCGUAGCAUGUGAAAGUAGCGGACAUGGCAGCUUCAGUGGUUCAACCCUAUAUGUUCGAACCUGAAUCGGAUCCUGAAGAAGGAGAGGAGGCUCCUGCAGAACCCCAGACUCCGAGAAUUCAGCAGGAUGCUUCUGAAUGGUGCACAUGUGGAAAUUGUGCCACAAUGCAGUCAGAGCCGGAGAACUCAUGCUGUCAGGAGGUGCCUCAGGUUACAAGACGGCUGGAACAGCUGGAUGAAAGGACUCCCUGCAUGAUAGACCAUCCAGGUUUAGAACUGGUUUGUCUGAAUGUGUUCUCGCUGCAGAACGCAUGCAACAUCUACAGAGCUGACUACGGUCCUUUGCGACUACGGGGGAUAGAGCAGUGAGUUUUACAUAUAAUAACCUACUUGACUGUUCAUACACAAUAAACUAA